rnacentral:rRNA from 1 species
CCUACGGGAGGCUGCAGUGAGGAAUAUUGGUCAAUGGGCGCGAUCCUGAACCAGCCAUGCCGCGUGCAGGACGACUGCUCUACGGGUUGUAAACUUCUUUUAUACAGGAGUAAAGUGACUUACGUGUGCGUUUUUGUAAGUACUUUACGAAUAAGGAUCGGCUAACUCCGUGCCAGCAGCCGCGGUAAUACGGAGGAUCCGAGCGUUAUCCGGAUUUAUUGGGUUUAAAGGGUGCGUAGGUGGGUUUUUAAGUUAGUUGUGAAAGAUCGCGGCUCAACCGUAAAAUUGCAAUUGAUACUGGAAGACUUGAGAACGGAUGCAGUAGGCGGAAUGCGUAGUGUAGCGGUGAAAUGCAUAGAUAUCACGAAGAACACCGAUUGCGAAGGCAGCUUGCUAGGCUGGCACUGACAUUGAUGCACGAAAGUGUGGGUAUCGAACAGGAUUAGAUACCCUAGUAGUC